rnacentral:rRNA from 1 species
AGCAGCCGCCGCGGUAAUACGAAGGGUGCAAGCGUUAAUCGGAAUUACUGGGCGUAAAGCGUGCGUAGGCGGUGAGUUAAGUCUGCUGUGAAAUCCCCGGGCUCAACUUGGGAAUGGCAGUGGAUACUGGCUCGCUAGAGUGUGUCGGAGGAUGGUGGAAUUCCCGGUGUAGCGGUGAAAUGCGUAGAGAUCGGGAGGAACAUCAGUGGCGAAGGCGGCCAUCUGGGACAACACUGACGCUGAGGCACGAAAGCGUGGGGAGCAAACAGGAUUAGAUACCCGCGUAGUCCCUGUCUCUUAUAC